CCUACGGGUGGCUGCAGUGGGGAAUCUUGCGCAAUGGGCGAAAGCCUGACGCAGCGACGCCGCGUGCGGGAGGAAGCCCCUCGGGGUGUAAACCGCUGUCAGGAGGGAAGAAUGGGCGCGGGAGGAAAUGCCUGCGUUUUGACGGUACCUCCAAAGGAAGCACCGGCUAACUCUGUGCCAGCAGCCGCGGUAAUACAGAGGGUGCGAGCGUUGUUCGGAAUUACUGGGCGUAAAGCGCGCGCAGGCGGUCCUUUAAGUCUACCCGUGAAAUGCCG
rnacentral:rRNA from 1 species